AGGGGCCAGGUUUCCUCGGCAAUGUUCGUCAGCCGAGGGUUAGUCGGUCCUAAGACGUACCGUAACUCGAGUACGCCGAAAGGGAAACAGGUUAAUAUUCCUGUACCAUUUAGCAAUUUAGUCUGACGUCUCAGGGCAGGCCGAGCGGAGUCGUCGCUCCGUCUAAGCAGCGAAACCCGUGGAGAGCCGUAAUGGCGAGAAGCGGGUGAAUCUGUGAAUGCGCAAGUCGGUUGCACCCAGGGACCCGUGAAAAGGCUGCUAAAUGUCCGUACCGAGAACUGACACAGGUGCCCCUGGCUGAAAAGGCCAAGGCGUGUCGGAGUAAUUCAGUUAAGGGAAUUCGGCAAAUUAGCUCCGUAACUUCGGGAGAAGGAGUGCCUGCUGUGAAGACAGCAGGUCGCAGUGACCAGGGGGCUCUAACUGUCUAAUACCAACAUAGGAGAUUGCAAACCUGUAAAGGCUAGUACAAUCUCUGAAUCCUGCUCAGUGCAGGUACCUGAAACCCCGGUUCAACGGGAAGAAGGGCCUGUAAACAGCGGGGGUAACUAUGACCCUCUUAAGGUAGCGUAGUACCUUGUCGCUUAAUUGGCGACUUGCAUGAAUGGAUCAAUGAGAGCCCUACUGUCCCUAACUGGAAUCCGGUGAAGCUUACAUUCUAGUGCACAGUCUAGAGACCUCUAGGGGGAAGUGAAGACCCCGUGGAGCUUUACUGCAGCCUGUCGUUGGGUUGUGGUUCUGGAUGUACAGUGUAGGUAGGAGGCGUCGAAGCGGGUGCGCCAGCAUCCGUGGAGCCGUCCAUGGGACACUACCCUUCUGGGACUGCGACCCUAACUCUGAGAAGAGGACCCCGAUAGGUGGGCAGUUUGCCUGGGGCGGGACGCCCUUGAAAAGAUAUCAAGGGCGCGCAAUGGUUGACUCAAGUGGGUCGGAAACUCACUGAAGAGUGUAAGAGCAUAAGUCAGCCUGACGUUAUUCAGCACAGUAGUGGAUGACGAGACGAAAGUCGGCUCUAGCGAACUUUUGUGCCUCCUUGGUGGGGGCCAAAAAUGACAGAAAAGUUACCCCGGGGAUAAUUGAGUCGUUGCCGGCAAGAGUACAUAUCGACCCGGCAGCUUGCUACCUCGAUGUCGGUUCUUUCCAUCCUGGCCGUGCAGCAUCGGCCAAGGGUGAGGUUGUUCGCCUAUUAAAGGAGAUCGUGAGCUGGGUUUAGACCGUCGUGAGACAGGUCGGUUACUAUCUACUAGAGGUGUCUGAGGUCUGCGGGUAAGCUGCUUUUAGUACGAGAGGAACCAAGCAGCGGCGCCACUGGUGUACCGGUUGUUCGACAGGGCAUUGCCGGGCAGCUACGCGCUAAGGAAUAAGAGCUGAAUGCAUCUAAGUUCGAAAUCCGACCUAAAAAGAGACCUCAUUAAGGAUUCCGGUAAAAGACCGGUUUGAUAGAAACGGGAUGUAAGCACCAAGGCAACGAGGUGUUCAGUCCGCGUUUACUAACCAUCCGUUCCUUUCCUA
rnacentral:rRNA from 1 species